rfam:Drosophila virilis strain TSC#15010-1051.87 Ctg01_17512, whole genome shotgun sequence.
ACGCUGAUGAGAUUAAUUGGUCCGUGUUUAUGAAUUUUACAUUGAUCGCAAAUUUUCCAAUUACUGAGAACC